UUGUGAGGUUAAGCGACUAAGCGUACACGGUGGAUGCCCUGGCAGUCAGAGGCGAUGAAGGACGUGCUAAUCUGCGAUAAGCGUCGGUGAGGUGAUAUGAACCGUUAUAACCGGCGAUUUCCGAAUGGGGAAACCCAGUGUGUUUCGACACACUAUCAUUAACUGAAUCCAUAGGUUAAUGAGGCGAACCGGGGGAACUGAAACAUCUAAGUACCCCGAGGAAAAGAAAUCAACCGAGAUUCCCCCAGUAGCGGCGAGCGAACGGGGAGGAGCCCAGAGCCUGAAUCAGUGUGUGUGUUAGUGGAAGCGUCUGGAAAGGCGCGCGAUACAGGGUGACAGCCCCGUACACAAAAAUGCACAUACUGUGAGCUCGAUGAGUAGGGCGGGACACGUGGUAUCCUGUCUGAAUAUGGGGGGACCAUCCUCCAAGGCUAAAUACUCCUGACUGACCGAUAGUGAACCAGUACCGUGAGGGAAAGGCGAAAAGAACCCCGGCGAGGGGAGUGAAAAAGAACCUGAAACCGUGUACGUACAAGCAGUGGGAGCCUCUUAAUGGGGUGACUGCGUACCUUUUGUAUAAUGGGUCAGCGACUUAUAUUCUGUAGCAAGGUUAACCGAAUAGGGGAGCCGAAGGGAAACCGAGUCUUAACUGGGCGUUAAGUUGCAGGGUAUAGACCCGAAACCCGGUGAUCUAGCCAUGGGCAGGUUGAAGGUUGGGUAACACUAACUGGAGGACCGAACCGACUAAUGUUGAAAAAUUAGCGGAUGACUUGUGGCUGGGGGUGAAAGGCCAAUCAAACCGGGAGAUAGCUGGUUCUCCCCGAAAGCUAUUUAGGUAGCGCCUCGUGAAUUCAUCUCCGGGGGUAGAGCACUGUUUCGGCAAGGGGGUCAUCCCGACUUACCAACCCGAUGCAAACUGCGAAUACCGGAGAAUGUUAUCACGGGAGACACACGGCGGGUGCUAACGUCCGUCGUGAAGAGGGAAACAACCCAGACCGCCAGCUAAGGUCCCAAAGUCAUGGUUAAGUGGGAAACGAUGUGGGAAGGCCCAGACAGCCAGGAUGUUGGCUUAGAAGCAGCCAUCAUUUAAAGAAAGCGUAAUAGCUCACUGGUCGAGUCGGCCUGCGCGGAAGAUGUAACGGGGCUAAACCAUGCACCGAAGCUGCGGCAGCGACACUAUGUGUUGUUGGGUAGGGGAGCGUUCUGUAAGCCUGUGAAGGUGGCCUGUGAGGGUUGCUGGAGGUAUCAGAAGUGCGAAUGCUGACAUAAGUAACGAUAAAGCGGGUGAAAAGCCCGCUCGCCGGAAGACCAAGGGUUCCUGUCCAACGUUAAUCGGGGCAGGGUGAGUCGACCCCUAAGGCGAGGCCGAAAGGCGUAGUCGAUGGGAAACAGGUUAAUAUUCCUGUACUUGGUGUUACUGCGAAGGGGGGACGGAGAAGGCUAUGUUGGCCGGGCGACGGUUGUCCCGGUUUAAGCGUGUAGGCUGGUUUUCCAGGCAAAUCCGGAAAACCAAGGCUGAGGCGUGAUGACGAGGCACUACGGUGCUGAAGCGACAAAUGCCCUGCUUCCAGGAAAAGCCUCUAAGCAUCAGGUAACAUCAAAUCGUACCCCAAACCGACACAGGUGGUCAGGUAGAGAAUACCAAGGCGCUUGAGAGAACUCGGGUGAAGGAACUAGGCAAAAUGGUGCCGUAACUUCGGGAGAAGGCACGCUGAUAUGUAGGUGAAGCGACUUGCUCGUGGAGCUGAAAUCAGUCGAAGAUACCAGCUGGCUGCAACUGUUUAUUAAAAACACAGCACUGUGCAAACACGAAAGUGGACGUAUACGGUGUGACGCCUGCCCGGUGCCGGAAGGUUAAUUGAUGGGGUUAGCGGCAACGCGAAGCUCUUGAUCGAAGCCCCGGUAAACGGCGGCCGUAACUAUAACGGUCCUAAGGUAGCGAAAUUCCUUGUCGGGUAAGUUCCGACCUGCACGAAUGGCGUAAUGAUGGCCAGGCUGUCUCCACCCGAGACUCAGUGAAAUUGAACUCGCUGUGAAGAUGCAGUGUACCCGCGGCAAGACGGAAAGACCCCGUGAACCUUUACUAUAGCUUGACACUGAACAUUGAGCCUUGAUGUGUAGGAUAGGUGGGAGGCUUUGAAGUGUGGACGCCAGUCUGCAUGGAGCCGACCUUGAAAUACCACCCUUUAAUGUUUGAUGUUCUAACGUUGGCCCGUAAUCCGGGUUGCGGACAGUGUCUGGUGGGUAGUUUGACUGGGGCGGUCUCCUCCUAAAGAGUAACGGAGGAGCACGAAGGUUGGCUAAUCCUGGUCGGACAUCAGGAGGUUAGUGCAAUGGCAUAAGCCAGCUUGACUGCGAGCGUGACGGCGCGAGCAGGUGCGAAAGCAGGUCAUAGUGAUCCGGUGGUUCUGAAUGGAAGGGCCAUCGCUCAACGGAUAAAAGGUACUCCGGGGAUAACAGGCUGAUACCGCCCAAGAGUUCAUAUCGACGGCGGUGUUUGGCACCUCGAUGUCGGCUCAUCACAUCCUGGGGCUGAAGUAGGUCCCAAGGGUAUGGCUGUUCGCCAUUUAAAGUGGUACGCGAGCUGGGUUUAGAACGUCGUGAGACAGUUCGGUCCCUAUCUGCCGUGGGCGCUGGAGAACUGAGGGGGGCUGCUCCUAGUACGAGAGGACCGGAGUGGACGCAUCACUGGUGUUCGGGUUGUCAUGCCAAUGGCACUGCCCGGUAGCUAAAUGCGGAAGAGAUAAGUGCUGAAAGCAUCUAAGCACGAAACUUGCCCCGAGAUGAGUUCUCCCUGAGACUUAGAGUCUCCUGAAGGAACGUUGAAGACGACGACGUUGAUAGGCCGGGUGUGUAAGCGCAGCGAUGCGUUGAGCUAACCGGUACUAAUGAACCGUGAGGCUUAACCUUACAACGCCGAAG
rnacentral:rRNA from 1 species